rnacentral:rRNA from 1 species
CGGCCUGGUAAAUGCCCGGGUAAAUCGGACAGCUCAACUGUUCGAAUUCCGGGUAGACUGCCAGGCUUGGGACCGGGAGAGGCUGGAGGUACUCCGGGGGUAGGGGUGAAAUCCUGUAAUCCCUGGGGGACCACCGGUUGCGAAGGCGUCCAGCUAGAACGGAUCCGACGGUGAGGGACGAAGCCUCGGGGAGCAAACCGGAUUAGAUACCCGGGUAGUCCGAGGUGUAAACGCUGCGGGCUUGGUGUCGGGGAUCCUGCGUGGGUACCCGGUGCCGGAGUGAAGACGUUAAGCCCGCCGCCUGGGGA